rnacentral:tRNA from 1 species
GCGGGAUCGUCGCUGUUGGUAGCGGCACCUGGCUCUGAACCAGGAGUGCGUUGGUUCGAUUCCAACUCCCGCAA